rnacentral:rRNA from 1 species
CCUACGGGUGGCAGCAGUGGGGAAUAUUGCGCAAUGGGCGAAAGCCUGACGCAGCGACGCCGCGUGAGGGAUGACGGUCUUCGGAUCGUAAACCUCUGUCAGCAGGGAAGAACGGUCACUGUGCUAAUCAGCAGUGAAUUGACGGUACCUGCAAAGGAAGCACCGGAUAACUCCGUGCCAGCAGCCGCGGUAAUACGGAGGGUGAGAGCGGUAAUCGGAAUUACUGGGCGUAAAGCGCUCGUAGGCGGUAUGUCAAGUCAAGGGUGACAUCCCCGCGCUCAACGUGGGAACUGCCUUUGAAACUGGCAAACUUGAGUGUGUGAGAGGAUAGUGGAAUUCCAGGUGUAGGAGUGAAAUCCGUAGAUAUCUGGAGGAACAUCAGUGGCGAAGGCGACUAUCUGGCACAUAACUGACGCUGAGGAGCGAAAGCGUGGGUAGCAAACAGGAUUAGAUACCCUAGUAGUC